CCGUAGCCCAAGAGAUCGGGAUAACACCUGGAAACAGAUGCUAAUACCGGAUAACAACAGAUGAUGCCUAUCAACUGUUUAAAAGAUGGUUCUGCUAUCACUNUUGGAUGGACCUGCGGUGCAUUAGCUAGUUGGUAGGGUAACGGCCUACCAAGGCGAUGAUGCAUAGCCGAGUUGAGAGACUGAUCGGCCACAUUGGGACUGAGACACGGCCCAAACUCCUACGGGAGGCAGCAGC
rnacentral:rRNA from 1 species